rnacentral:rRNA from 1 species
CCCCGGCGGACGGCUCAGUAACACGUGCCCAACCUACCCUCGGGAGGGGGAUAACACCGGGAAACUGGGGAUAAUCCCCCAUAGGCCUGGGAUUCCUGGAAGUGGGCCCAGGCCGAAAGGGGCCUUUGGCCCGCCCGAGGAUGGGGGUGCGGCCCAUCAGGUAGUAGGGGGUGUAACGGACCCCCUAGCCGAAGACGGGUACGGGCCCUGGGAGGGGGAGCCCGGAGAUGGACCCUGAGACACGGGUCCAGGCCCUACGGGGCGCAGCAGGCGCGAAACCUUCGCAAUGCGGGUAACCGCGACGAGGGGACCCCGAGUGCCGGGGCCUACUGGGCUCCGGCUUUUCCGGAGUGUAAAUAGCUCCGGGAAUAAGGGCUGGGCAAGGCCGGUGGCAGCCGCCGCGGUAAUACCGGCGGCCCGAGUGGUGGCCGCUAUUAUUGGGCCUAAAGCGUCCGUAGCCGGGCCCGUAAGUCCCUGGCGAAAUCCCACGGCUCAACCGAGGGGCUUGCUGGGGAUACUGCGGGCCUUGGGACCGGGAGAGGCGGGGGGUACCCCUGGGGUAGGGGUGAAAUCCUAUAAUCCCAGGGGGACCGCCAGUGG